rnacentral:lncRNA from 1 species
GCUUCGCUGUUCCAAUGUAUUUAAUUUGACUUUUUGCUUACAUAUAUAAGUGUAUAAAAAUCAAUCGGUAUAUCUGUAUAACAAAACAACUUGUAUCAAAAUGUUCAAUUGGAAUGUAGUUUUUGUCCUUUCUCUUCUAAGUAUACUAGAUCAAGCGGAUUCCCAAGAGUGAGUAUAAUUAUUCAUUUUAUUGAAUUCAUUUUAUAAUAUUUUCAAACUCGACUUCAAGAUGCAACCUAGAGGUAUUUAAGGGAGAUUGGGUGGAAACUACUCAUUUGUUUUUUAUAAGGCUAUAGGUAUUUGUCUCCAUUAAAAAGUCUUUCAAAUAUUCUAAUUGAAUAAACUUCUUAACUGUAAGAGCUCUGGAACAGUAUUUGAAAAAAUUAAGAAUCAUUCUAACUCAAUGAAUAUAACUAAAAUGGAGGACGGAUUUAGUAUUCAAUUUUGGGAAUAUUCUGUGGAAAAAAAUGAUCUAAGAUUUGCAAUAACUCGUAAAGGACCUUCUCCUGAUAUCCAAUUGAUCAAUGGGAAGGAAGCCCUUGGAUCUCUUAACUGUCGAGGAAGCUUUUUCACGGGCACCUAUUGAAUAAAUCCAGAGGAGGAAAUAUAUCCAGAUAAGGGAAUAUAUCCAGAUAAGGGAAUGUAUCCAGAUAAGAGAAUGGUUACAAAUGAUAAAAUAUAUGUAGAGAGAAUGGCGUAUUCUGGAGUAAUGUUUGUUCGUUAUGAAUAUUCCAAUGGUGAUGAUAAAAUCACCUAUUACACAAUUUAUGAAGAAGUCUCAGCCUUAUAAUUUUUUUUUCAAAAAUAAAUGAUUAGCAUAUCAGGGUCGUCAGCAUGGAUGAGGGUUAGUUCAUAUAAUUCAAUAAAAAUAUUUGGAGAAGAGAUUAAAGCCUCUUGGACUGCGGACGUCUUUACAUAUUAAAUAUCAAAUUUGUAUAACUGUUUAGUUCAAUUUAUUUUGGGUGUUUACGUAUUGUCCAUCAAUUUUUCUGGGUUGAUUGUAUAAAUAUACCCUGAAUACGGUCAAAUUUA